UUUAUGGAGAGUUUGAUCCUGGCUCAGGAUGAACGCUGGCGGCGUGCCUAAUACAUGCAAGUCGAGCGAACAGAUAAGGAGCUUGCUCCUUUGACGUUAGCGGCGGACGGGUGAGUAACACGUGGGUAACCUACCUAUAAGACUGGAAUAACUCCGGGAAACCGGGGCUAAUGCCGGAUAACAUGUUGAACCGCAUGGUUCUACAGUGAAAGACGGUCUUGCUGUCACUUAUAGAUGGACCCGCGCCGUAUUAGCUAGUUGGUGGGGUAACGGCCUACCAAGGCGACGAUACGUAGCCGACCUGAGAGGGUGAUCGGCCACACUGGAACUGAGACACGGUCCAGACUCCUACGGGAGGCAGCAGUAGGGAAUCUUCCGCAAUGGGCGAAAGCCUGACGGAGCAACGCCGCGUGAGUGAUGAAGGUCUUCGGAUCGUAAAGCUCUGUUGUUAGGGAAGAACAAAUGUGUAAGUAACUGUGCACAUCUUGACGGUACCUAACCAGAAAGCCACGGCUAACUACGUGCCAGCAGCCGCGGUAAUACGUAGGUGGCAAGCGUUAUCCGGAAUUAUUGGGCGUAAAGCGCGCGUAGGCGGUUUUUUAAGUCUGAUGUGAAAGCCCACGGCUCAACCGUGGAGGGUCAUUGGAAACUGGAAAACUUGAGUGCAGAAGAGGAAAGUGGAAUUCCAUGUGUAGCGGUGAAAUGCGCAGAGAUAUGGAGGAACACCAGUGGCGAAGGCGGCUUUCUGGUCUGCAACUGACGCUGAUGUGCGAAAGCGUGGGGAUCAAACAGGAUUAGAUACCCUGGUAGUCCACGCCGUAAACGAUGAGUGCUAAGUGUUAGGGGGUUUCCGCCCCUUAGUGCUGCAGCUAACGCAUUAAGCACUCCGCCUGGGGAGUACGGUCGCAAGACUGAAACUCAAAGGAAUUGACGGGGACCCGCACAAGCGGUGGAGCAUGUGGUUUAAUUCGAAGCAACGCGAAGAACCUUACCAAAUCUUGACAUCCUUUGACCGCUCUAGAGAUAGAGUUUUCCUCUUCGGAGGACAAAGUGACAGGUGGUGCAUGGUUGUCGUCAGCUCGUGUCGUGAGAUGUUGGGUUAAGUCCCGCAACGAGCGCAACCCUUGAACUUAGUUGCCAUCAUUCAGUUGGGCACUCUAAGUUGACUGCCGGUGACAAACCGGAGGAAGGUGGGGA
rnacentral:rRNA from 1 species